UAGCUCAGUUGGUAGAGCAUGGUGUUUGCAACGCGUGGUGUUUGCAACGCCAGGGUUGUGGGUUCGAUUCCCAC
rfam:Salmo salar isolate Sally breed double haploid chromosome ssa04, whole genome shotgun sequence.